rnacentral:tRNA from 1 species
GCCGGGGUGGCUCCGUGGUAGAGCGUCGGCCUGUGGACUGAAAGGUCCUGGGUUUGAUUCCCGGUCAGGGCA